rnacentral:rRNA from 1 species
UACGUGAGGUGCUAACAUUACCCGGAUUUAUUGGGCGUAAAGAGUUCGUAGGCGGCAAGGUAAGUCAGAUAUUAAAUCCUGAGGCUCAACUUCAGGUCUGUAUCUGAAACUGUCUAGCUAGAGUCUUGGAGAGGUGAGUGGAAUUCCUCAUGUAGGGGUAAAAUCCGUAGAUAUGAGGAGGAACACCAAAAGCGAAGGCAGCUCACUGGCCAAGUACUGACGCUAAAGAACGAAAGCAUGGGUAGCGAACGGG